rnacentral:rRNA from 1 species
AACGAACGCUGGCGGCAGGCCUAACACAUGCAAGUCGAACGCCGUAGCAAUACGGAGUGGCAGACGGGUGAGUAACGCGUGGGAACAUACCCUCCGGUUCGGAAUAACUCAGGGAAACUUGAGCUAAUACCGGAUACGUCCAAGGUUUAAUUCGGCCUUGGAGAAAGAUUUAUCGCCGGAGGAUUGGCCCGCGUCUGAUUAGCUUGUUGGUGAGGUAAUGGCUCACCAAGGCGACGAUCAGUAGCUGGUCUGAGAGGAUGAUCAGCCACAUU